rnacentral:tRNA from 1 species
GGCCAGUUAGCUCAGUGGAUUAGAGUGUGGUGCUGUUAAUACCAAGGUCGCAGGUUUGAUUCCUGCUCAGUCCC